CUCACCUCCAGUAUUUAAGCUCUGUGCUUCCAUUCACUCCCUGCCGGAUCAUAAAUUCACAUCCUUUCUUUGAUUCUGUUUCUCCCCUGGAUUCUGUUUCUCCCACCAAGCCUGCCACCUUCAGACUGCUUCAGCCCCAUGGACUCUGCUGCUCCCCCCUCCUGGAUUUUCCCUUCUUGGACUCCAUUUGCUCCAACCUGUUCAUGGAUUUUCCCCAGCCUGUUUCCCCCCUCGGUUCUCAGUUUCCCCAUGUUCUAAAGAAUACAUCACAGCUGUCGUUGGACAGAAUGUGAUUCUACCAUGUAAAGUUCCCAACAACAACAAAACCAUCAGAGCUGUAGAAUGGAGCAGACCUGGGCUGGAUCCAGAAUAUGUUCUCCUGUACCGGGAUGAAUGCUUAGAUGUAGACAACCAGCAUCCAUCUUAUAAGAACCGGGUGGAUCUGCAGGACAAAGAGAGGAAGGAUGGAGACGUUUCUCUGGUUCUGAAGGAUGUGAUGAUGGAGGACGUUGGAGUGUCAUGUUCUUCAGGGAGAAACAACCUCUAAAACCGUCUACCUGGAAGUUCAUCCACCAGGAAAGAAGAAUGAAAACAUCAGAGUAGGAGUGAACAAGGUUGGAGGAAACAAGGACGGAGCAGACAAGGAUGGAAUCAUUGUAGGAGCAGCAGUGGGUGUGAUUCUUCUUCUUGCUGUGGCUUUGGUUGCUUUUCUGAUCUGUACACGACACAUGAGGAAGAAUCCCGACCUCCCAGUUCCUCCUGAUGAUGAAGCAGCAGCUGAACAGAUGUUAUGAAACAAAGACAUGAAAGUUUUUCUGGACAGCAGCAGAACAAAGCACAGCUUCUGUAACUCUAAUGGAACCAGCAGCAGCAGAACAAAGAGAAUCCAGGUGUGGACCAACCAUGUGGUCUCUCCUUUAACUGCCACCUUAUGGUGGUGGAGGGUUUGUGAGCUCAGAGGAUGCUGGGAGAUCUGCUGUCUGGAGUUCAGCUCCUGGUAGGGUUUCUAUUGGCAGACUGGUCCCAGAUGAUGAUCCAGACUAAGAGCAGUUUUCCUCCCUGCAACAUUUUAAUCUGGUUCAUGGUCAUGUAGAAUAUUUUAGCUGUAAAAUAUCAGAAACAUAAACAGACUUUAGAAACAGAUCCUGAACCUUCUGAACCCUGAGCAGGGAGGUGAGUUUGAAAUGCAUGUUGUCUUUCAAGUGAAUUAUCAUAAUUGCUCCAUUUAUAAGAACGUACAACUGUCAAAACAGAAUCACCUGAUUUUUAACUUUCCGAUGGUCCUUGAACUACUCACCCAUCAGGAUACGUCACCAAAUCUGAGACGAAAAUUCAGAUGUUUCAUGAAAACCAAGACAAAUAUCUGAUUUUCUGUGACAAGAUUAUAACAUUCCAUUAAUGACUCAUCCACACCAACAGUCGUAUGAAAACUACUCAGAGGUUUCGGUUGAACUGCAGGUAGUGUUUACACAGAGCAGACGAGAUGAACAUAGACACAAAUUAAAAACAUAAAUAUUGAGAGUUUAUUUCCAGUGUUUCAGCUGUUAGUUGAUGUUCUGAACUGUUUACAGGAUAAAUGUGGAACCAUUUUUAUGUAUUUUAUAUAUUUUUUAUACUGCUGAGGGGUUUGUAGGUUGAUCUUCGUAAUAUAUUCUGUUUUGCUGUUAAUCUGCAGAGAAAAUACAGAUAAAUGUAGUGCAAUAAAAUGCAUGUUAUUUGCUACUGAACUGUAGUAAAGGUUGAAUAGAAUAUACAUUUAUUGUACUGUUAGAAUGUACUGAGGUACUUCAGAGUAAUGAUUGUUUAUACUGUAACAGACUGUAAAUAAUGAACUUUUUUGCACUUCUGGUUUGAUGCCAAACUCAUGGUCUUGGUACUUUUCCUCUCUGCAAUGACAAAGUUGAAUCUAAUUAGUGGUCUGUGGUUCGUUAUAAUUUCUAUAUCUAUAAAUGUACACACAUUGAUACUCCCUCAAACAUUAGCUGUUAGCAGCUCUGCUAAUGUUCUGGUUCAUGGUAUUCGUUCUGACACAACAUGGUGAUGAUGCUUGGAUGAUUUUUACUGAUUUAUUAUUGCAGAGAAUAAAAAAAUACAUUUUUAACUGAAAGUGCAGCACUCUGGAUGUUUUUUAUCUGCAGAUAACUGAUUAUGAAACGUGUUCGUCCUGCAGUCGACGUCUUCAUGUAAACCUGAUGUAGA
ensembl:lncRNA